rnacentral:sRNA from 1 species
CUUUAAAAGAAGAAGUAAAGUGUUUUAGCUAAUAUCACAAAUGUAUUUUCAUUGUUUGGAAGGAUGUACCAUAAAAAGCUCAAACCAAAUUCACAUAAUGUUUGGUUAUUUACAUGUAAAUACAUGUAUGUGUUUUGCAUCUGCAUGUAAGUAGAUUAUUUUGUAGCCCAGAGUUCGCCUUAGAAUGUACGCUAUUGAUAGUGAUUACAAGGUUUUAACCAGAUUCUAGAAUGUGAUAAAUCACGCACCGUCCUUCUUCUUAAAAGGAUUCUUAUUUUUUCAAAUUCAUAUUUUGGACGAUGGAGCCAUUGUAGGUGUGGAAGGUUGUGAUAAAUGCAUAAUAAUUGAUUUAUUGUUUGAUCUCACUCUCUAUGGCAAUCUUUUUAUCUUUACCUUAAUGCAAAUUAUUUUUUUUCUGCGUAAACUAGUAUAUUGUGUAAAAUGUAUCCAAUAUUUAAUAUACGGUAUUAACCAAUUCUGUCGUAGCUCAUAAUGAUCCUAUUUCUGUAUUAAUGUCAUGAAAGUACAUGUAUGAUUGUUAUGAAACAAAAUUACAACACUUGUUGUGCCUUCAUGUGAACUGGGACCAGGUUUUAAUGAGUCCUACCAAACAUUCCACCAAUUCCUCAAAAUCUUUUUCUUUUAAUCUCUGUGUUAUGUCAAAUUAUUUAGGUUGGUUCAUUUAACUAUGUAUUUCAUGCAAUUACAAAUGUCUGAAUGUUGUAUUCAUCUAUCAAUAAAUCAUAGGUU